UAGGGAAUCUUCGGCAAUGGGGGGAACCCUGACCGAGCAACGCCGCGUGAGUGAAGAAGGUUUUCGGAUCGUAAAGCUCUGUUGUUAAGGAAGAACGAGUGUGAGAAUGGAAAGUUCAUACUGUGACGGUACUUAACCAGAAAGGGACGGCUAACUACGUGCCAGCAGCCGCGGUAAUACGUAGGUCCCGAGCGUUGUCCGGAUUUAUUGGGCGUAAAGCGAGCGCAGGCGGUUAGAUAAGUCUGAAGUUAAAGGCAGUGGCUCAACCAUUGUAGGCUUUGGAAACUGUUUAACUUGAGUGCAGAAGAGGAAAGUGGAAUUCCAUGUGUAGCGGUGAAAUGCGCAGAGAUAUGGAGGAACACCAGUGGCGAAGGCGACUUUCUGGUCUGUAACUGACGCUGAUGUGCGAAAGCGUGGGGAUCAAACAGG
rnacentral:rRNA from 1 species